rnacentral:rRNA from 1 species
GCAAGUCGUACGGGAGUUUUAACUCAAGUGGCGGACGGGUGAGUAACACGUGAGAAUCUACCUAUAGGAAGGAAAUAUCAUUGAGAAAUUAAUGCUAAAGUCCUAUAUACCUUUUGGUGAAAUAAAGAAAUUUGCCUAUAGAAGAGCUCGCGUCUGAUUAGCUUGUUGGUGAGGUAAAGGCUCACCAAGGCGAUGAUCAGUAGUUGGUCUGAGAGGAUGGUCAGCCACACUGGAACUGAGACACGGUCCAAACUCCUGCGGGAGGCAGCAGUGAGGAAUUUUCCGCAAUGAGCGAAAGCUUGACGGAGCAAUACCGCGUGAGGGAUGACGGCCUUCGGGUUGUAAACCUCUUUUUUCAGGGAAGAAGACAUGACGUGUACCUGAAGAAUAAGCAUCGGCUAACUCCGUGCCAGCAGCCGCGGUAAGACGGAGGAUGCAAGUGUUAUCCGGAAUUAUUGGGCGUAAAGCGUCUGUAGGUGGUUUAAUAAGUCUGUUGUUAAAGGUUAAAGCUUAACUUUAAAGUUGCAAUGGAUACUGUUAGGCUUGAGUAUAGUCGAGGUAGAAGGAAUUUCCAGUGAAGCGGAUGAAAUGCGUAGAUAUUGGAAAGAACACCAAUGGCGAAAGCAUUCUGCCAGAUUUUUACUGACACUGAGAGACGAAAGCUAGGG